rnacentral:rRNA from 1 species
UACGUAGGGGGCUAGCGUUGUCCGGAAUCAUUGGGCGUAAAGCGCGCGUAGGCGGCCCGGUAAGUCCGCUGUAAAAGUCCAGGGCUCAACCCUGGAAAGCCGGUGGAUACUGUCGGGCUCGAGUCCGGAAGAGGCGAGUGGAAUUCCUGGUGUAGCGGUGGAAUGCGCAGAUAUCAGGAGGAACACCGAUAGCGAAGGCGGCUUUCUGGGUCUUACCUGACGCUGAGGAACGAAAGCCAGGGGAGCGAACGGG